GGCUCAGAUUGAACGCUGGCGGCAGGCCUAACACAUGCAAGUCGAGCGGAUGAAGGGAGCUUGCUCCUGGAUUCAGCGGCGGACGGGUGAGUAAUGCCUAGGAAUCUGCCUGGUAGUGGGGGACAACGUUCGAAAGGAACGCUAAUACCGCAUACGUCCUACGGGAGAAAGCAGGGGACCUUCGGGCCUUGCGCUAUCAGAUGAGCCUAGGUCGGAUUAGCUAGUUGGGAGGUAAUGGCUCACCAAGGCGACGAUCCGUAACUGGUCUGAGAGGAUGAUCAGUCACACUGGAACUGAGACACGGUCCAGACUCCUACGGGAGGCAGCAGUGGGGAAUAUUGGACAAUGGGCGAAAGCCUGAUCCAGCCUGCCGCGUGGUGAAGAAGGUCUUCGGAUUGUAAAGCACUUUAAGUUGGGAGGAAGGGCAGUAAAUUAUACUUUGCUGUUUUGACGUUACCGACAGAAUAAGCACCGGCUAACUCUGUCCAGCAGCCGCGGUAAUACAGAGGGUGCAAGCGUUAAUCGGAAUUACUGGGCGUAAAGCGCGCGUAGGUGGUUCGUUAAGUUGGAUGUGAAAUCCCCGGGCUCAACCUGGGAACUGCAUCCAAAACUGGCGAGCUAGAGUAUGGUAGAGGGUGGUGGAAUUUCCUGUGUAGCGGUGAAAUGCGUAGAUAUAGGAAGGAACACCAGUGGCGAAGGCGACCACCUGGACUGAUACUGACACUGAGGUGCGAAGCGUGGGGAGCAAACAGGAUUAGAUACCCUGGUAGUCCACGCCGUAAACGAUGUCAACUAGCCGUUGGGAGCCUUGAGCUCUUAGUGGCGCAGCUAAC
rnacentral:rRNA from 1 species